rnacentral:rRNA from 1 species
GACGAACGCUGGCGGCGUGCUUAACACAUGCAAGUCGAACGAUGAACCGGAGCUUGCUCUGGGGAUUAGUGGCGAACGGGUGAGUAACACGUGGGCAACCUGCCCCAGACACCGGGAUAACCAUUGGAAACGAUGGCUAAUACCGGAUACGACCACUUCGGGCAUCCGAUGGUGGUGGAAAGGAUUCUGGUCUGGGAGGGGCCCGCGGCCUAUCAGCUUGUUGGUGGGGUAAUGGCCUACCAAGGCGACGACGGGUAGCCGGCCUGAGAGGGCGACCGGCCACACUGGGACUGAGACACGGCCCAGACUCCUUCGGGAGGCAGCAGUGGGGAAUAUUGCGCAAUGGGCGAAAGCCUGACGCAGCGACGCCGCGUGAGGGACGAAGGUCUUCGGAUUGUAAACCUCUUUCAGCAGGGACGAAGCGAAAGUGACUGUACCUGCAGAAGAAGCACCGGCUAACUACGUGCCAGCCGCCGCCGUAAAAC